UACAAUGGAAGUAAAAUCACAAGAUGUGCUACUUACAGAUCCCAGAAGCAGGAGUAGGUGUGGGGUAGGGAGUGCAAUGAGCUGGGGGAAAGGCAGUCCUCUGUCCCAGUGGCAAGGAAACAGAAAAAUACUUUUAUGUGUUUAGAUUUAUCUAGGCCAAAACCAUGAUCCAUAAACUCAUGAUACAAAUUAUUAUUUCUAAAUAAAAAACCUCAACAUUGUCACUAAUAACUUUAAAAAGCAAGUGUUAUACUUCAAAAUUAUGACAUAAAUUUUACCAUUUCUCCCCCCCGAGAUGAUUAAAUUAAGCACUGUCUCUGCAGAAUAUAAUAGAAAUGGAAAUAAUUUUACUAUAUUGGAUGGAUGCUUGUAAGGUAAAUUUUUCAUUUGAAUCAGCUUUGUAGUUUAUUUACUCCUAGACAAUCUUUAGGAUUAGAGGGAACUGGAGGGAAGAUACUAGAAUGUAGUUUUUACUCACAUAUGAUUUAUGGUUGUUUCAACUUAAAGGUGUCAAUUCACACUAACUUACAGAUCUUAGAGGUUAUAAAAUCAUUCCUGCAGGAGCCAAGGAGAUUCGAGAAUUCUUGUCAUAGAUUGCAAAUAAAUGGACACAAAUUCUUCCCAGUGCUUCCAUGUAGGUGGAGUCUAUUUCUCCAUCCCUUGAAUCUGGAGCAUGGCAUAUGACUUGGCUUGGCCAAUGGGACAUUAGUAAAUGACAUGUUUGCAUGCUGAGAAUACAAGUAACCUUAAGAAGAUGAGAGACCAUUGCAGAGAGAAGCUUAGCCAUCCCAAUUGCCCCAGAUGAGUCCAACUCCCACCUAAUCCACCAACUAACUAUAACUGCAAGAGCAGUAGAAUAGCUUAAAGCCACUGAGUUGUGGGGUGAAUUGUUGUGAAGAGCAAAUGUGAACUCUUACAGUUCGGACGCCUAUUUUUGUCAUGAGCUCUAAAUAGUGUAUCUUUUAUAUGAUAUAUAAAACUAUAACAUUUUAUUUAAUAUUCAUUAUUUAUUAAAUAUUAAAUUAUAAUCUAUUUAUUUAACAAUAUAAAAAUAGGACAUUUCAACUAUGUAACAGUGCCAUGACCCAGUGAACUGUUUAGGUGCCAGUCCCAAGGAUACAGGCAACAAGCACUGGAUUUUUUUACUCUGUUCAUCCAAGGGUGGUGUAGUCUUUAGAAUAUUUAAUCCAAGUCUCAUAUUUUUAAAAAAAGCAUUAUUGAAGUAUAAUUCUUGUACCAUAAAAUUGACCCUUUUAAAGUGUACUAUUCAUGAAGGAUAUUCUAUUUUCUUGUGAUGUUGUUGGUUUUGUUAUAAGGGUGAUUGUCCUCAUAAAAUGAAUUGAGGAGUGUUCCUUACUCAUCUAUUUUCUAAAAAGGUAUUGAUAGAUUUGGUAUUAUUUUUUCCCCUUAAAAUAUUUGAUAGAUUUCACCAGUGAAGACAUUUGAUCUGGCCUUUUCCCUGUGGGAAGAUUUAUAUUUACUAAUUCAAGUUUUUUACCCUGAUAUAUGUCUAUUUGGAUCUUUUCCUUUUCUCUUCAGUUAGUUUUAGUAAUUUGUUCUCUCCAGGAAAGCCUCCAUUUUCAACUAUUUUUAAAAUUAUCAGAAUUAUGAUGCUCAUAAUAUUCUCUUAGAAUACUUUUCAUUUUUGUAAGGUCUAUAGUGUUCUCUCUUCAUUUCUCAUUUUGGCAAUUUAGGUCUCUUUCUUAGUCUAGCCAAAGGUUUAUCAAUUUGAUAUCUUCAAAGAGCUGACUUUUGGGUCUUUUUCUCUAUUUCCUUAUGCUUCAGAUUUUUUGAUUCCUAUUUUUAUCCUGUUUCCUGAUUUCUACUUAAUUUAGGUUUGAUUCACUUCUCUUUUGCUACCUUCUUGAGAUAGAAGCUUAGAUUAUUGUCUUUCUUCUAAUUUUAAGCACUUAAUGCUACUAAUUUCCCUCUAAGCACAGUUUUGGCUGCUUCCCUUAAAUUUGAUAUGUUGUAUUUUUGUUUCCAUUCAGUUCCAGGUAUUUUCUAAUUUUCCUUGUGAUUUCUUCUUUGUCCUAUGGAUUACCUAAAAAUAUUAAUUUCCAGUUAUGUAGGGCGGGGGUUUCUCAAAUUUGUUUUUGCUAAUUCCAUUGUGGAAAGAGAAAAUAACUUGUAUGUUUUCAGUCCUUUAAAAUUUAUAGAGAUUUGUUCUGUGACUUGCCUUAUGAUGUAUACUGGACAAUGUUUCAUUUGUCUGAAAAGGAUGUAUAUUCUGCUGUUGGGAGUUUUCUGCAUAUGUCAAAUAUUUCAGUAUUGGCUGAUACUGUAAUGAGGGUCUUCUAUAUCCGCCUUUCUUUUCUCUUGUUUAUUGCUGAGAAAGAAAUUUGAAGCCUCCAACCACAAGUGAAUUGUCAAUUUAUCAUUUCAAGGUCCAUAUAGCGAUUUCACAAAGGGCUCAAUAAUGUCCAACUCAGGCCAGUGCCUAUCCCUCGGCCCCUUUAAUGUAGCUACAAGCAAGGAGCACUUGUAACUGGCAUCGUAAACAUGCCCAUCUCAGUGGUCAGCCGACACUCUUCUGUCGCCAGAGGGGCAAAAAAGAGCUUCUCAAACUGUCAGAAAACAGACCACGUCGGUAUCUAAUUCCAGGAGACUUUUCACCUUCAGGCUUAGGGGGAUGAACUUCACUGGGUAGAAAACGCAGGGUAUGGGCAGCCCGGGUGGCUCAGCGGUUUAGCGCCGCCUUUGGCCCAGGGCAUGACCCUGGAGACCCAGGAUCGAGUCCCGCGUCGGGCUCCCUGCGUGGAGCCUGCUUCUCCCUCUGCCUCUCUCUCUCUACCUGCGUCUUUCAUGAAUAAAUAAAUAUUAAAAAAAAAAAA
rnacentral:lncRNA from 1 species